AUGAACGCUGGCGGCGUGCCUAAUACAUGCAAGUCGAGCGAACAGACGAGGAGCUUGCUCCUCUGACGUUAGCGGCGGACGGGUGAGUAACACGUGGAUAACCUACCUAUAAGACUGUGAUAACUUCGGGAAACCGGAGCUCAUACCGGAUAAUAUAUUGAACCGCAUGGUUCAAUAGUGAAAGACGGUUUUGCUGUCACUUAUAGAUGGAUCCGCGCCGCAUUAGCUAGUUGGUAAGGUAACGGCUUACCAAGGCGACGAUGCGUAGCCGACCUGAGAGGGUGAUCGGCCACACUGGAACUGAGACACGGUCCAGACUCCUACGGGAGGCAGCAGUAGGGAAUAUUCCGCAAUGGGCGAAAGCCUGACGGAGCAACGCCGCGUGAGUGAUGAAGGUCUUCGGAUCGUAAAACUCUGUUAUUAGGGAAGAACAAAUGUGUAAGUAACUAUGCACGUCUUGACGGUACCUAAUCAGAAAGCCACGGCUAACUACGUG
rnacentral:rRNA from 1 species